ACCAUAUUAGAUAAGCGCAAAAGAAGAACAAGGAACGUAUAAUUUUAUUAAAAUCAAUAAUAUGAUAGACAAGAAACGCGAUGAUUGUACACAAUGGUAAGUUUUUGUUUAAAUCAUACUCAUGUAUUGGAACUUUCGGAGUCUAUACGUAGUUGAAAUAUUAUAAUCCAUACGAUCUCCGAAGUUGAAGUCGGCAAGGGUGUAGGUCCUCCUAAAACUGGCUCCAAACGGCGGCACACGGGGCACGUACACAGACACGGCAAAAUACACAAGUGCAUGUACCAGAUGGCACAACGGGGCCCGCACAGUGAAAACACUAAUUAAACGACCACGCAGUAUAUAGUUUUUACCUCGACCCCCCCGACAAAAAAAAACCGUGUACGCCACUGCAGGGCACACGGGCACGCACAACGACGAAAGUGCGUAAAACAAAAACUUUACAAACUGCUGCAGACGGCACACGGAACACGUAGUACCUACGACGACGAAAAUAGAAAAAUCAUCCAAGCCGACUGCAGACGAGCUGCAUAUCACAAGACACAAGACGGUCUGACGGUGAAUACAACGCGAAGAAGACGAUGACGGCAGUGCGGAAGGACAGAAUAUGAACUCGUCGCAUCUACCGCAUUUGACUCGUUCUAUAGACACGUCACAUCGUUUUAUUGGCACUUGCAGGCAGAACGGCUCAAGUUCACUCGGUCGCCGUUGCGCGAAACGAUCGGUCGACCGGCUUGCGCACGCCCUCCGCACCGUCGAACACGACAAACGCGCGCGGUCCGCGGUCGAUCCGCCCUCUCAAAACCGUUCCGUACCGGGCGAACGUUUGCCGUCGGUGCUUUACCGUCGCGGAGCCCGCCGCGGUCGUCAUUCUCCAGCCGACCACGUUCACGUGACGGUAGUUCGCGUCAUCUGUAUAGAAACGUCGUACACGUUAACAAACAACAUUAAUACUAAAAAAAAUGUUUCUUGGUAUAUAAAUAUAAAAGGGCAAAUGGUAAAAAACUUUACAAAAAAACAAAAAGUAUAAACACUUCGUGAAGGUUGUCAAAAUAGGUAAGGUGAGUCAAAAUUUAUGGAGGUUGUCAAAAUAGGUAAGGUGAGUCAAAAUUGAUGGGGGUUGUCAUUAUCAGUAGUUUUCGUCUUAAUCGGUUAGAAGUGUCAAAAUUGGUAUUAUUGUUGUCAAAAUGCAUCAUCAGCGCUAAAGGAAUCAUCAUCGCCAUCAUCCUCUUCAUCAGAAAAAGAUUUUUCAACUGAGCUUGUCUAAUUAAAUUUAAAAUAUCAAAAAAACACACGGAAAAAAAUAAAGGUUUAACUCAACUAUUUAAAUGGUUAUUUUAAUCGUAUUUUCAGGUUAACAUAGGGACAAUCUAUAAGAGUACCACCUUAUAAAUACUAAAUUGGUUUAGUUAAAAAUAUUUAGCUGUUUCAAUUUUAUAUUUAGUUGCAAUUUCAAUAAAACUUCUUCAUUGUAGGAAUUAAACAAUAUAGUUAUGUUUACUAUUACAUGGGAUUGCUUUACCUAAAUAUUAUAGUUGGUUCAACCAAUAUAUUACAUUAGAAUUAAUAAAAUCAACCUGUUUUACUAUCAACGUAACUUAACUGUUUAGUUAACCUGACUUUAGUUUUAUUUUAUUCAACCAUGCAUAAUAGUUAGUAAAAGUAAUGUUUACAAAUUAUUUAGUUAAUCUAACCUAUUUAGUGGAUUACAAUUUAUUUUUUGGAUUAUCAAAUCAACUAAAAUGUGUAGUAGACCCAACUUUAUUUUUGUUCUAUUUAACUUUGUGUAAAGUACUAAUGUUACAAAUUUAUUACAAGGGUUACAUUAUAUAUAUUUAUUACAUUAAGUACCUAAUACAUAUAAUCAGGCAAACCUAAAGUAUGUACCAUAUGUUCAUAUGUUAGGUAUAUUUACAUUAUACUACAUAGGUAAAUAAGUACACUUGACAGUCGUGAAUCCAGAAGAAUUUACUACUGCACUAUAGUAAUCAUACAUAGUUGUUAAAUAUUUAUUAGUUAUCUAUCUUUCAUAUUAUAUUACUAGGGUAUACAGUACACACAUAUUUAUUUACUA